rnacentral:rRNA from 1 species
UACGUAGGGUGCAAGCGUUGUCCGGAAUUAUUGGGCGUAAAGAGCUCGUAGGCGGUCUGUCGCGUCGGUUGUGAAAACCUGGGGCUCAACUCCAGGCCUGCAAUCGAUACGGGCAGACUAGAGUUCGGUAGGGGAGACUGGAAUUCCUGGUGUAGCGGUGAAAUGCGCAGAUAUCAGGAGGAACACCGGUGGCGAAGGCGGGCCUCUGGGCCGAAACUGACGCUGAGGAGCGAAAGCGUGGGGAGCGAACAGG